CAGAUUGAACGCUGGCGGCAGGCCUAACAYAUGCAAGUCGAGCGCGAAAGUUCUUCGGAAUGAGUAGAGCGGCGGACGGGUGAGUAAUGCAUAGGAAUCUGCCCAGUAGUGGGGGAUAGCCCGGGGAAACCCGGAUUAAUACCGCAUACGUCCUACGGGAGAAAGCAGGGGAUCUUCGGACCUUGCGCUAUUGGAUGAGCCUAUGUCGGAUUAGCUUGUUGGUGGGGUAACGGCCCACCAAGGCGACGAUCCGUAGCUGGUCUGAGAGGAUGAUCAGCCACACUGGAACUGAGACACGGUCCAGACUCCUACGGGAGGCAGCAGUGGGGAAUAUUGCACAAUGGGGGAAACCCUGAUGCAGCCAUGCCGCGUGUGUGAAGAAGGCCUUCGGGUUGUAAAGCACUUUCAGUAGGGAGGAAGGCCCUAAAGUUAAUACCUUUAGGGAUUGACGUUACCUACAGAAGAAGCACCGGCUAACUCCGUGCCAGCAGCCGCGGUAAUACGGAGGGUGCGAGCGUUAAUCGGAAUUACUGGGCGUAAAGCGCGCGUAGGCGGUUAGUUAAGCUGGAUGUGAAAGCCCCGGGCUCAACCUGGGAACUGCAUUCAGAACUGGCUGGCUAGAGUACGAGAGAGGGUAGUGGAAUUUCCUGUGUAGCGGUGAAAUGCGUAGAUAUAGGAAGGAACAUCAGUGGCGAAGGCGACUGCCUGGCUCGAUAC
rnacentral:rRNA from 1 species